rnacentral:rRNA from 1 species
UGGGGGAUAUUGCACAAUGGGCGAAAGCCUGAUGCAGCGACGCCGCGUGGGGGAUGAAGGCUUUCGGGUUGUAAACCUCUUUCGCUAUCGAACAAGGCCCGCUUAGGGUGGGUUGAGGGUAGGUGGAGAAGAAGCGCCGGCUAACUACGUGCCAGCAGCCGCGGUAAUACGUAGGGCGCGAGCGUUGUCCGGAAUUAUUGGGCGUAAAGGGCUUGUAGGCGGCUUGUUGCGCCUGCUGUGAAAACGCGGGGCUUAACUUCGCGCGUGCAGUGGGUACGGGCAGGCUGGAGGGUGGUAGGGGUGACUGGAAUUCCAGGUGUAGCGGUGGAAUGCGCAGAUAUCUGGAGGAACACCGAUGGCGAAGGCAGGGCACUGGGCCAUUACUGACGCUGAGGAGCGAAAGCAUGGGUAGCGAACAGG